rnacentral:rRNA from 1 species
GCUCAGUAACACGUGGAUAACCUGCCCUUGGGACCGGGAUAACCCCGGGAAACUGGGGAUAAUACCGGAUAACGCAUAUCUGCUGGAAUGCUUUAUGCGUAAAAUGGAUUUGUCUGCCCAAGGAUGGGUCUGCGGCCUAUCAGGUAGUAGUGGGUGUAAUGUACCUACUAGCCUACGACGGGUACGGGUUGUGAGAGCAAGAGCCCGGAGAUGGAUUCUGAGACAUGUAUCCAGGCCCUACGGGG